AGUUCCGUAAACCACAAGAGGACCUUUCCUCGAAAUGUAACGACGGUUCCUCGCCUUACCUUUACCAGGACGGAUCCCAAUGCUAGCCUUGGCCUUCUCGGCAUCGUCAUAAGCUCCGAAUUGUUUCAGAGCCUUGAUCGCGCCUGAGGUCUUCUCCACACCCUCGACGGAGUCACUGACAACAAGAGGCAUCUCUGGAACAUUCUCGAUCUUGUGACCACGAGCCAUCACAAGCGAGGGAACAGCAGUUGCGGCAAUCGCCGAAACAAUCGCGUGUCUCUUCAUGUUGACAUUGACACGACGGUGCCAGCGACGCCAGAUCUUAGUCGGAGCGAACAUCCGACCACCACGACACAUGUUACCAAAGGCUGCCUGACCGGCACGGUGAGUACCACCUCCGGGAACACGAGGGAUACGUGAGACGGCACGUCCGGUUCCCCAGGACUCGGCGGAGGUCUGGUGACCGGCUUUCUUUGAGACGGCGUAAGGCUGGCGGCUGUUGUUGGAGAUUUGGGCGUGGACGAAGUUGACGAUGUCUGGUCGGACAGGGGCCGUCAUGACGUCGGGUAAUACGACGGUGGAGGAUUGAUCGGUGGACAUGUC
rnacentral:lncRNA from 1 species